ACAUGGUUGUGAGCCUGCUGACACUGCCUGCCAACAAACCUUGAAUAAGCUGGAUUCGUGUACUACCUCCCAUUUUCCUUGGCUUUUAUUUGGGUACUUAAUUCACUCCAAAUUGAAUGGAAAGGAAGGUGCCUCCUCCAUCUAUUUCAUGUGUGAAUCUUUCUCAUGUUUUGACUUCAUCUGGGAAGUGAAACAGAGCAAAACAGAUGGACAAUACUGCAUUCACCAAAUUAACAUUAAAAUAAUAACAGGAGAGACGACAGCAAUGAAGAAUAGAAGAGGAUGAGGAUGUCACAGACUAAUUUCAAGGUGAAGCAUGAAGUCAGUUCGGCAAAUGGUUAUAAGCUUUAAAUUGAAGAUCGAUCAUUGAACGUUUAGAGAAUAUAGAGACUUUUGGUUAUCCGUCAGAAGUUCCACGUAACAGAGAUAAUUAAAAAAAAGUAUAUGAACUUCAGGAUGUUUAUUUGCCAAGUAACUGAAUUCUAGACACUAUUUACUGCAUGAUAUUACCAGAACAAAAAGCUGUCUGUUUUAAAAUUGCUUCCCCUGAAAAAAAUAAAUCAGUUCUCAAUAGGAAAUCACAGUAUAAAAGAGUGUAAGGGUGGGACAUGAAUCUAGGCAGUUUAAGUUCACUUUCAAAAUACCAUCAAAUGAGAUUUUCUGUGUUUAUAUCUACCAGAAUAGAAUAAUUGUUACAUGAUAUCUGAUGACAGCUCUGGGAAAUACAGCCACUAACGGCAGACUAAAUGACUAACUAAUUCCUUCUGGCUGCUACUUCUGGGAGGUGAAAGGUUACUUCUGCAUCUAUCCAAUUUCUUCUCUUGAGACUCCAAAACCAAUAAAAUUAGUUUGACCGGUCUUGCACCUAUGGCUACAAAAAUAUCUGACUUAGCAUCUGCUAAUCUGGGAAAUUAGGAGUUGAUGUCAGACAAAAAGAAAUCUUGGCUAA